GAUGAACGCUGGCGGCGUGCCUAAUACAUGCAAGUCGAGCGAACGGACGAGAAGCUUGCUUCUCUGAUGUUAGCGGCGGACGGGUGAGUAACACGUGGAUAACCUACCUAUAAGACUGGGAUAACUUCGGGAAACCGGAGCUAAUACCGGAUAAUAUUUUGAACCGCAUGGUUCAAAAGUGAAAGACGGUCUUGCUGUCACUUAUAGAUGGAUCCGCGCUGCAUUAGCUAGUUGGUAAGGUAACGGCUUACCAAGGCAACGAUGCAUAGCCGACCUGAGAGGGUGAUCGGCCACACUGGAACUGAGACACGGUCCAGACGCCUACGAGAGGCAGCAGUAGGGAAUCUUCCGCAAUGGGCGAAAGCCUGACGGAGCAACGCCGCGUGAGUGAUGAAGGUCUUCGGAUCGUAAAACUCUGUUAUUAGGGAAGAACAUAUGUGUAAGUAACUGUGCACAGCUUGACGGUACCUAAUCAGAAAGCCACGGCUAACUACGUG
rnacentral:rRNA from 1 species